GUAUAUUAACUUUAUAGGUACAAAAUGACCUGAUUCAACAUUCUAAACAGACUCAGAGGUUUGUGAUAAAUGACAUAGACCUGAAAAAUACAAGGGAAAGCCGACUUGAGAAAGCACAGCAGUCCCCAACUCGAAAAUAAAUCCAUCAAAUAUCAAGGUCUACAAUUAUGUGCACAGUUGGAGAAAUAAAGAUGACAAGCGUGCACAUAUCCCUCCAAGGAGGGCCAGCAACAGCCUGUUCAAGUUUAUUCAAUAAUGAUCCUUCCGCAGGUUCACCUACGGAAA
rnacentral:misc_RNA from 1 species